UACGGAGGGGGCUAGCGUUGUUCGGAAUUACUGGGCGUAAAGCGCACGUAGGCGGCUCUGUAAGUUAGAGGUGAAAGCCCGGGGCUCAACUCCGGAAUUGCCUUUUAAGACUGCAUCGCUAGAAUUGUGGAGAGGUAAGUGGAAUUCCGAGUGUAGAGGUGAAAUUCGUAGAUAUUCGGAAGAACACCAGUGGCGAAGGCGACUUACUGGACACAUAUUGACGCUGAGGUGCGAAAGCGUGGGGAGCAAACAGG
rnacentral:rRNA from 1 species